rnacentral:rRNA from 1 species
AGCGAACGCUGGCGGCAGGCUUAACACAUGCAAGUCGAACGGGCUUCUUCGGAAGUCAGUGGCAGACGGGUGAGUAACACGUGGGAACGUGCCCUUCGGUUCGGAAUAACUCAGGGAAACUUGAGCUAAUACCGGAUACGCCCUUAUGGGGAAAGGUUUACUGCCGAAGGAUCGGCCCGCGUCUGAUUAGCUUGUUGGUGGGGUAACGGCCUACCAAGGCGACGAUCAGUAGCUGGUCUGAGAGGAUGAUCAGCCACACUGGGACUGAGACACGGCCCAGACUCCUACGGGAGGCAGCAGUGGGGAAUAUUGGACAAUGGGCGCAAGCCUGAUCCAGCCAUGCCGCGUGAGUGAUGAAGGCCUUAGGGUUGUAAAGCUCUUUUGUCCGGGACGAUAAUGACGGUACCGGAAGAAUAAGCCCCGGCUAACUUCGUGCCAGCCGCCGCCGUAAAAC